UGUGUCUUUACAAGCACGCCAUAUAUAUUUGGCCGAUGUACUUGCUGCAGGACAGUUGGAGAAGGAAACUGAAAACAGAAUAGAUGUGUCUUUACAAGCACGCCAUAUAUAUUUGGCCGAUGUACUUGCUCCAGGACAGUUGGAGAAGGAAACUGAAAACAGAAUAGAUAGACUUUAGGAGGCUUUGCCAACUGCAUGCGGUAGGAAACCAUGGCUGAAAGCAAUGAGCUUGUUUCAAGUGACAACACGAUCACUCCAGAGAUCAUCCAGGAGCUUCUUCCGGCUGCGGAGCGAACCGCUCUUCUCUAUCAUCUCUCUUACCUGAGACUGGGUACUCUCCCAAACCUGGAGCGUCUGAUCAAACAGCAAGCUCUUGAUACACAAAUGCU